rnacentral:rRNA from 1 species
AUUGAACGCUGGCGGCAGGCCUAACACAUGCAAGUCGAACGAGUGGCGGACGGGUGAGUAAUGUCUGGGAAACUGCCUGAUGGAGGGGGAUAACUACUGGAAACGGUAGCUAAUACCGCAUACCAUCAGAUGUGCCCAGAUGGGAUUAGCUUGUUGGUGGGGUAACGGCUCACCAAGGCGAAGAUCCCUAGCUGGUCUGAGGGGAUGACCAGCCACCCCGGAACGUGGACACGGUCCACACGCCUACGGGAGGUCGGAGGGGGGAAUAUUGGCCAAUGGGCGCAAGCCUUAUUCAGCCCGUCCGCGGGGAUGAAGAAGGGCUUCGGGGUGGAAAGUACUUUCAGCGGGGAGGCGUUACCCGCAGAAGAAGCACCGGCUAACUCCGUGCCAGCAGCCGCGGUAAUUC